CCAUGCUUGUCGUAAGAGGCGACUAACGGGAUCGGAUGGUCAUACUCGCUGACCUGGUGGACACAUGUCAUCGUAUCCCAGCUGCCUAGAUCGAUGUACAUGCUGCUGAGCACUGCAUUGUGU